rnacentral:misc_RNA from 1 species
GAUGAAGAACGUAGCAAAAUGCGAUAAGUAAUGUGAAUUGCAGAAUUCAGUGAAUCAUCGAAUCUUUGAACGCACAUUGCGCCCGCUGGUAUUCCGGCGGGCAUGCCUGUUUGAGCGUCAUUUCAACCCUCAAGCCCCCGGGUUUGGUGUUGGGGAUCGGCUCUGCCCUUCUGGGCGGUGCCGCCCCCGAAAUACAUUGGCGGUCUCGCUGCAGCCUCCAUUGCGUAGUAGCUAACACCUCGCAACUGGAACGCGGCGCGGCCAUGCCGUAAAACCCCAACUUCUGAAUGUUGACCUCGGAUCAGGUAGGAAUACCCGCUGAACUUAAGCAUAUCAAUAAGCGGAGGA